CCUACGGGUGGCAGCAGUGAGGAAUAUUGGUCAAUGGACGAGAGUCUGAACCAGCCAAGUAGCGUGAAGGAUGACUGCCCUAUGGGUUGUAAACUUCUUUUAUAAAGGAAUAAAACGAGGCACGUGUGCCUUUUUGCAUGUACUUUAUGAAUAAGGAUCGGCUAACUCCGUGCCAGCAGCCGCGGUAAUACGGAGGAUCCGAGCGUUAUCCGGAUUUAUUGGGUUUAAAGGGAGCGUAGAUGGGUUGUUAAGUCAGUUGUGAAAGUUUGCGGCUCAACCGUAAAAUUGCAAUUGAUACUGGCAGUCUUGAGUACAGUUGAGGUAGGCGGAAUUCGUGGUGUAGCGGUGAAAUGCGUAGAUAUCACGAAGAACCCCGAUUGCGAAGGCAGCUCACUAAACUGUGACUGACAUUGAUGCUCGAAAGUGUGGGUAUCAAACAGGAUUAGAUACCCGGGUAGUC
rnacentral:rRNA from 1 species